GCGAACGAAGAGAGAAAAGCCCAGCACUGAAGCCCGCGUUCGGAAACGUCCGCUGGGCAAUGUAGUGUUUGGGAGAGCCCAUUUAACCUGGUUAUUAUUGUUGUGUCCAAGUCCUUCUUGAAGGGGGCCCGUUCGCCCAUAGAGGGUGCUAGGCCCGUAGUGAUCAAACAUUAUAACUGGGUGGGUUUCUCCUUAGAGUCGAGUUGCUUGAGAGUGCAGCUCUAAGUGGGUGGUAAACUCCAUCUAAGGCUAAAUAUAACCACGAGACCGAUAGCGAACAAGUACCGUGAGGGAAAGUUGAAAAGAACUUUGCAGAGAGAGUUCAAGAGUACGUGAAACCGUUCAGGGGUAAACCUGAGAAGCCCGAAAGUUCGAACGGGGAGAUUCAAUUGCCUUUUCCCGAUGGUGGCCAUACUGAUGGUGAUUGAGACGUUUCAUGCGUAUGUACAUUCUGUUUCGGCAGGGUACGUAGUCUGUAUGUUAUGCUCCACUAUUGUAUGUUUGUUUAUUGGCGGAGGUAUGCACUUCUCCCCUUGUAGGACGUCGCAACCCAUUGAGUAUGUUAUCUAAGGUUCACAAUGGAGACCGUGGCGUCAAAUUUUACGAUUUGUGCGACCCGGACAUGUGGUGCCCCGAUUUCUACCCGAUGGUAUGAUAAAUGAUGGUAGGCCGCUAAAUUUAUUUAGUGUGAGCGUUCAGUCUUUAUGACAAGUAUAUAUACGGUCUGUAAAAAAAACCUGGCACCUAGUGCCGAUUCUGGGCGUAUAUUACUGUGGGUNGUAAUGUUCUCGGACUGCCCAAUAAUGCCUUAUCAUCCGUAAGCGACGAUAAUGUUUUGGGUUUUUUCAGGACCCGUCUUGAAACACGGACCAAGGAGUCUAGCAUGUGUGCAAGUCAUUGGGUACAUUAAUACCUAAAGGCAAAAUGAAAGUAAAAAUUUACUUAUGUAAAUUUAGGGAAGAUGGGUGACGUUUUAUGUUGCCUCGCAUUCCCGGGACGUCGCAUAACUCAUUGCGAGUUGCGGCGUACCAAGAGCAUAUACGCUGGGA
rnacentral:rRNA from 1 species